UACCUGGUUGAUCCUGCCAAUAUUUAUAUGCUAGAUUAAGCCAUGCAAGCGUAAGUAUGAACUAAUUCAGACUGUGAAACUGUGAAUGGCUCAUUAAAUCAGUUAUAGUUUGUUUGAUGGUAUUUGCUACUCGGAUAACCAUAGUAAUUAUAGAGCUAAUACGUGCAACAAACCCCGACUGCUAGAAGGGAUGCAUUUAUUAGAUAAAAGGUCGAUGCAGGCUCUGCACGUUGCUCUGAUGAUUCAUGAUAACUUGAUAGAUUGUAUGAUUCAUCGUGCCGGCGACGCAACAUUCAAAUUUCUGCCAUAUCAACUUUCGAUGGUAGGAUGGCUUACUAUGGUGGUGACGAGUGACAGAAUUAGGAUUUAAUUUUGGAGAGGGAGCCCAAGAAACGACUACCAUAUCCAAGGAAGGCAGCAGAGGCACAAAUUACCCAAUGCUGACACGAGGAUGUAGUGACAAUAAAUAACAAUACCAGGCUCUUCAAGUCUUGUAAUCGAAAUGAGUAAAAUCUAAAUCCCUUAACGAUGAUCAAGUCGAGAUCAAGUCUAGUGCCAGCAGCCACAAUAAUUCCAGCUUCAAUUACGUAUAUUUAAGUUGUAAUUAAAAAGCUCGUAUUUGGACCUUCAAUUGGUUCGAUCGGUCCGCCUAUGGUGAGCAUCGAUCGACUCAUCCCUUCUACGGCGAUGGGCUCUUAGCCUUAACUAGCCAGGUCGUGCCGUCAACGCUGUUACUUUAAAGAAAUUAGAGUGCUAAAAGCAAGCGUGCGCUCUAUAUACAUUAGCAUGGGAUAACAUCAUAGGAUUUUGAUCCUAUUCUAUUGGCCUUUGGGAUUGGAGUAAUGAUUAACAAGGAUAGUCGGGGGCAUUCGUAUUUCAUAGCCAGAGGUGAAAUUCUUUAAUUUAUGAAAGAUGAACAACUGCGAAAGCAUUUUUCAAGGAUGUUUUCAUUAAUUAAGAACGAAAGUUGGGGGCUUGAAGAUGAUUAGAUAUCAUCCUAGUCUCAAACAUAAACGAUGCUGACCAGGGAUUGGUGGAUGUUGCUUUAAGGGCUCCGUCGGCACCUUAUAAGAAAUAAAAGUCUUUGGGUUCCAGAGGAGUAUGGUUGCAAGGUUGAAACUUAAAGGAAUUGACAGAAGGACACCACCAGGAGUGGAGUCUACGGCUUAAUUUGACUUAACACAGGGAAACUUACCAAGUCCAAACGUAGUAAGGAUUGACAGAUUAAGAGCUCUUUCUUGAUUCUAUGGGUGAUGGUGCAUGGUUGUUCUUAGUUAGUGGAGCGAUUUAUUUGGUUAAUUCCAUUAACGAAGGAGACCUCUGCCUGCUAACUAGCUAUGCGAAGGUACCCUUCCGUGGCCAGCUUCUUAGAGGGACUAUAGCCGCUUAGGCCAAAGAAGUUUGAGGUAAUAACAGGUCUGUGAUGCCCUUAGAUGUCCUGGGCUGCACACGUGUUACACUGAUUUAUUUAAUGAGUCUAUAGCCUUGGCCAACAUACACGAGUAAUCUUUGAAAUUUCAUCAUGAUAGGGAUAGAUCAUUGCAAUUGUUAGUCUUCAACUAGCUAUGCGGAGGUACCCCUCCGCAACCAGUUUCUUAGAGGGACUAUAGCAGCUUAGACCAAAGAAGUUUGAGGUAAUAACGGGUCUGUGAUGCCCUUAGAUGUCCUUGGCCGAUCGCGUGUUACACUGAUGUAUUUAAUGAGUCUAUAGCCUUGGCCAACAUACUCGGGUAAUCUUUGAAAUUUAAUCGUGAUACGUAUAGAUCAUUGCAAUUGUUGGUUUUCAACGAGGAAUUUCUAGUAAACGGGAGUCAACAACUCGCAUUGACUACAUCCCUGCCCUUCGUACACAUCGCUCGUCGUUCCUACUGAUUUAAUAGUCCACUAAAGUGUUUGGGUCGCAACGAUGUGGGUGGUUCGCUGCCUUUAACGUUGCGAGAAGUCCACUAAACUUUAUCAUUUUGAAGAAGGUGAAGUCGUAACAAGGUUUCCAUAAGUGAACCUGCGGAAGGAUCAUUG
rfam:Cucumis melo, WGS project CAJI01000000 data, contig: 10729